rnacentral:rRNA from 1 species
UACGUAGGGUGCGAGCGUUAAUCGGAAUUACUGGGCGUAAAGCGUGCGCAGGCGGUUUUGUAAGCCAGAUGUGAAAUCCCCGGGCUUAACCUGGGAACCGCGCUUGAGACUGGCACGCUCGAGUUCGGGAGAGGAUGGUGGAAUUCCCAGUGUAGAGGUGAAAUUCGUAGAUAUUGGGAAGAACACCGAUGGCGAAGGCAGCCAUCUGGACCGACACUGACGCUGAGGCGCGAAAGCGUGGGGAGCAAACAGG